rnacentral:rRNA from 1 species
UGGGGAAUAUUGCACAAUGGGCGAAAGCCUGAUGCAGCAACGCCGCGUGAGCGAGGAAGGCCUUUGGGUCGUAAAGCUCUGUCGGGAAGGAAGAUAAUGACGGUACUUCCCGAGGAAGCCCCGGCUAACUACGUGCCAGCAGCCGCGGUAAUACGUAGGGGGCGAGCGUUAUCCGGAAUUAUUGGGCGUAAAGAGUGCGUAGGUGGUUGUUUAAGCGUGGGGUGAAAGGCAAUAGCUCAACUAUUGUAAGCCUCGCGAACUGGGCGACUUGAGUGCAGGUGAGGAAAGCGGAAUUCCUAGUGUAGCGGUGAAAUGCGUAGAUAUUAGGAGGAACACCAGUGGCGAAGGCGGCUUUCUGGACUGUAACUGACACUGAGGCACGAAAGCGUGGGGAGCAAACAGG